GGCUGGUCCAAAGGUAGUGAGUUAUCUCACUUGAUUGUUCAUAGUCAGUUACAGAUUGAAUUCUUUGUUCUUCUACUUUCCCCCCUUCUCACUACUGCACUUGACUAGUCUUAA
rnacentral:Y_RNA from 1 species